UAUCUCGCAGUCACAUCACGUCAGAGUUUUACUUCAAGGGUAGACGAAUUGACCGUUCACAGUACUGAAUUUACCCACCUUCCCGAUUGAUGGCUAACCGACCGUUUUAGUCCAUCACGCACAGUCUGACCAUGGGUGGCCGCACAGACGCUGUCCGCUAUAUCCUGUCGUUCAUCAACGCUCUUUUUUUGCUGGCGGGACUUGCUACCGUCGCCGUGGGACUAUGGCUCUUUUUCACCAUGCACGACAUCUGGAUGUUCGGAGAUGUCGCCGAAUACUCGG